CUUUGACAAGCCUCUUCAAAAUACCCCUAGAAAGCUACUUAAGCCCAUAGAUGUUCUUGGACCUAGGAGCCACUAGUCUUAUAUAAUUAAAGCCAACAUGGACAGCAAUUCAGUUUCAAGCUACCGAUUGUACAUCUGAUGGAGGAACAGUCCCUAGGACAAUUCUCUUCAGUAAGGAGAAGACCCUGAAGGCAGAGGUGAGGUACUGUUCACAGAGUAGAGAAUCUUUCCACUACAGUAAAUCUGAGCUGUUAAAUAAAUUCUGUUGGUUAAAAACUGCAUCCAGCCACUGGAUGAAACUACAUCAGUAAUAUACAAUUAUUUUAUUUCUAGAAAACCACAGUUUUUUGAUGGAUUUAUUCAAUAAUUUACAGUUGCCUCUGGUGCAUUCUUUCUUCGGAUCCAUCACUUGUACUUACAAAUUGCAUUUUUAGUAAAUGAGCCAGUUCUAUGAACAUUAAUUUUAAAGAUUUCAAAAUGGAUACUAAAAAUGUCUGAGGACACAUUUAUAGGACAUUAGUGUUUUAUGUUUACUAUAUGUUGAGUAAUCAAAAGAGAAAAUGCUUAACUGAAUUAUUUAGACAUACUGUUUCAAGGCAGGUAUUUUUCCAUUUCAAAAACAAUGGAACUGUUACCUGUAAUCUUUCCAUUUAACUAAAGUUUCAUAGUUGGCUUUGUUUCCAAAGGUACAGGGUAAUAUAAGCAAUCUAAAACAACAAUUUUACUUGACUCAUGCCUCAUAGUAGUUAGAAAUGAAAAGUCAUGGACAAUUGAACAUUUCUUCUUUUUCUCACUUUAAACUCUUUGUUUCCACUAGUGAUCCUGACCCACGUGAAAAUCAUCACAUAGGGGCCAAUAAAUAGGUUGUGAUGAGAGAAACAAACGUUGGCCCCAAAUAUGUUGCAUGUACGUUAUUGAUUUCUCUGUUUAACGCCACUAAUUUUUUAAUAAAGGAAAAUUAAA